rnacentral:rRNA from 1 species
GAACGGAGAUUAUACGCAGAGGCGAUUUCGGUCAAAUCAUGUAAAAUCUUAGUGGCGGACGGGUGAGUAACGCGUGGGUAACCUGCCUUACACUGGGGGAUAACACUUAGAAAUAGGUGCUAAUACCGCAUAAGCGCACGAAGCCGCAUGGAUUUGUGUGAAAAACUCCGGUGGUGUAAGAUGGACCCGCGUCUGAUUAGCUUGUUGGCGGGGUAACGGCCCACCAAGGCGACGAUCAGUAGCCGGCCUGAGAGGGUGGACGGCCACAUUGGGACUGAGACACGGCCCAAACUCCUACGGGAGGCAGCAGUGGGGGAUAUUGGACAAUGGGGGGAACCCUGAUCCAGCGACGCCGCGUGAGUGAAGAAGUAUUUCGGUAUGUAAAGCUCUGUCAGCAGGGAAGAAAGAAAUGACGGUACCUGACCAAGAAGCCCCGGCUAACUACGUGCCAGCAGCCGCGGUAAUACGUACGGGGCAAGCGUUAUCCGGAAUUACUGGGUGUAAAGGG